rnacentral:misc_RNA from 1 species
CUCUGCUUUUGUCUAUGUCCUGUAUGCUUCUGCUUAGAAGCAAUACUGUCAUGAACCCGUGGAGUACCACUGCAGUGAGCAGCAUCAGCAUUAUUACUAUCUGGCUGGAAAGGCUUUGGUUGCUCAUGCACCACAACAGACACAUUGACUUGAAUCUUUGGUGUCCCAAGAGGCACAUUGCUUGCUAUACUGGAGGAUUUAUCAACCGUAUUGUUGCUAUUUUUACCAUGUGCAAUCAUAUUUCGGCUGGAACCCAGAGCUGAGCUUGAUGCUCUAGAUUUGCUAGGAACAACAAUUGGUGACCCAGCAGCAGUGGAUUCCUCAUGCCUAUUCCGGACAACGCUACUAGGAAGGGUUUCCAACUUCUCCCUACUAUGUGGAACUGUAUUUGGGUUGGAACCAAAAGAUGAAUUUGGUGCUC